UUCCCUUUAUAGCUUUUCUUUUCUUUUACUUAUCAUAUUAGUUAGGACAGCCACACAGUUCUGAAUUGGUGUAGUGGCAGAGGACAAAAUGGCCUUUUUCUCCAUCUGAAGAGGAAAUCUAUUUGGUGGCUCAUCUUUAACUGUAAUGAGGCGCAAUACGGAGGCAGAGUGAAGACACAGGGCUCACCGCCGCCAUAAACUCACAACACUGUGCAGGACAACAUCGAUGCCCCUGAAAGAGAAAUGGGUGACCAGGGCACACACCAGGAGCAGGGACCAAUGGCAAGAAACUGGGAAAACGUUAACUGACCUGCAUCUACAGUUAUACUGGAGCAGAAUUAAACCCCCUACAGAUGUGGACUCGGGGACACUAGCCACAUUGGGGACUUUGGAGAUUCAGCACUUCCCUCAGCGCUGGGCUCAACCCACUGGGCCCUCCGGGAGGCCCUAUUUUUGAAGAUACCGUACCAAUUCUCUACAGCUACUGUCUCCUCCAGGCAGAGAAAGAACAUCCAGAUGCCUCCAUGCCCCAGGGCCCCGCAGGCAGAGCAGGUCACCUGGAGGUGUCCCUGCAGUGGGAACCAGUGUGCCCACGGCGGCCGCCUCCUCGUGCCCUUUGGAACCUGCGUGGGAAGAGCAGAGCCAGUGAAGCCCAAGCACGGAGGAGGCUCUUUCCAUAGUGACACCCCCCGGGAAGUGCUGCAUGGACAGAGAUGCGACAAAACGCAGAUGGAAACCAGGAGGCCCUAUCGAGGCGCCACU